CAUGCACGCAAAAGUUUGCCAAAAACUUCUCUCGAGUCUAACAAAUUCAAUUUGUCAGGCCUGGCGCGCCUCGGAGUGCGGCUAAUCCAUUUACAAUUUCAAAGUAAACAAACAAAAUGUAUCUGCAGCUCGAGCUGCUCGGCAUCCGAAGCUCGGCAUCAGCUCGUCGAGACAUUUAGCCCCGGUUUGAGUUUGAAUUUCGUUGGUAUUUCCAAUGAAAAUGCAGCGGAAACUUGACUGCCAACAGCCAGCCGACUCACUUGGUAGUUUAUGCAGUUUGCCCUGCCUACUUUUCACACACUCGAACCAAAAUACUUCAAAUGUUCUCGAAAACAAAAACUGGGAAAGACUGGGAACAUCAACAUUCUCAAAGCUAAGAAAACUUUUGUUGAAAUAAUUGCAUUUUCUACCAGUCUCUUUGGCCUGAAUAAAAUGCAUCAAAGCCAUAGACGGAGUUUAUCUAAUUAAGGUUAAACUAGUUGGUUGGUUGAAGUCUGUGAACGAUUCAAACAAACAUGCUUGCAUGUAACUCUAAUCUACCAUACCAUUUUUUUCAGUGCAGGUGAAAGCAACGACACGGUACUUGAGUGAAAUAAAAAGCCCCAUUCUUCUUACACUUUUCGCCUUUGCCCAAAUAAACAGCCAGCUGGUGGGAGGCGUUGGCGAAAGUUUAUUUGGCUUUAAAGCAGCAGUUGCUAUCCUUUAAUAUUCUACUCCUGAAUUGGCCCAAACAAAAGGAAAACUGUGUGGCAAACUAAAGCUGUGCGUUCCUGGUGCGAAAUACUUAUUCGGUGGGCGUGCCAGAGCCGACAGCCCAUAUUUUAGUUGGAAUUGGUUUUUAAGGCUUAAGUUCUUAAGUCCUCAAAAUCACAUUUAAGCCUUGAUUUAUGAGUUGUGAAGAGGGAAUUUGUGAAUACUGAACGUUGAGUAAAUAUUGCUGGAUUUAGCUAAUAGUUAAAAUUAUUAAUUCUUUGCUA